UGAAGUUCUUCCAGGAGCAUUGCCACCACUGACUACAUCUCUGCUACAUGCUGCUUUUGAUACUUACUGCAGGGAAGAUGGCAUGCGGUGGUCAUAUGCUUUCGAACCUGACCAUACACAGUAUGUCCCCGCAUGGAUGCCGUUACAGCGCUACAACUUCUUCUUGUGGUUGUCCGACGGACAACGAGUGAAUGGAGCGGACGCGAGUCUGAUGGAGAGAACAUUCCUGCACAGUAUACUGGGACGGGACGCAAGUGAAGAAGUGCGAGAUGUCGUUAAACGGGUAAAGAAGAUGGUCAUGUGGAAGCUUCCUGUGCAAUUGUACUACAUGG